rnacentral:lncRNA from 1 species
UAUUGACAUCUUUGCAACCAAUGUAUGCUUGAAAACUAGUCUCUCAUGCUGUUAGUUGUUGUGCAGGUAUGUUGUUGCUAAGGCAGGCUUGUUGUUGCUGACACAGGUAUGUUGUUGCUAAGGCAGGUAUGUUGUUGCUGACACAGGUACGUUGUUGCUAAGGCAGGUAUGUUGCUGACACAGAUACGUUGUUGCUAAGGCAGGUAUGUUGUUGCUAAAGCAGGUAUGUUGUUGCUGACACAGGUAAGUUGUUGCUAAGGCAGGUAUGUUGUUGCUGACACAGGUACAUUGUUGCUAAGGGAGGUGUGUUGUUGCUAAGGCAGGUAUGUUGUUGCUAAGGCAGGUAUGUUGUUUCUGUUUGAAGUUUGGUAAGGCAGGUGUGUUUUACCUGAGGCAGUAGUGUUGUUACAACAGGUACAUAGUUGGCAGGGAUGUUGAAGGCAGGGAUGUCGUUGCAGAGGCAGGAAUUUUCUUUUCUGAGGCAGGUAUACUGUUGCAAAGGCAGGUGCUGUUGCUGAUGUUGUGUGUUGUUGCUGAGGCAGUUGUGCUGAUCCAGAGACAGGGACGUUGUUACUGAGGCAGGUAUGUCUAUUGACAGCUAAGUUACUAUAUACUUAGAGCUGUUACCUCGCUGUGAUACCGAUAAAUAUACUCAAAAAUUGUUCCCCGAUCAGUCAAGACUGAACACAAGAUGUAUUUUCAAUAUAGGAGCCUAUUUAGCUAACAAUGAGAAGUCUUCAGAAUGCUAAAUUGUACAAUUCAUUGCCAUGAUAUUGAGGAUUUGAAAUAAGUAUUUGAAUCUGGGAGGUUUCUGUACCUGAUUUGUUGAUUAAUUAUAUCCACUACACCUCAUAUUGAACUCGUGUAUUAAUGGGGGUUGGGGGAAUGUAGUUUAUCGUCUAAAAUUGUUGUACACAGGAUUUAAGGCAUGGGUGAGAUAUUUUG